GGCCCUUUGAGGACCAUGCAUCCCCUUGAUCACGCUCCUUUCCCUGCACGGUUCCACCCUUUCCUUGCCCUUUCCCCUCACGGUUCUGCCCUUUCCUUGCCCCUUUCCUUGCCCCUUUCCCCUCACGGUUCUGCCCUUUCCUUGCCCUUUUCCCCGCACGGUCCCGCCCUUUCCUUGCCCCUUUCCCUGCACGGUUCCGCCCUUUGCUGCGUCUCGCCCCCAAAUCCCCGGCUAGCUGGGCGAGUCAAGCAGAGAGAAGGAAUUUCUCCUUGGAUCCCAGGGGGGCUUUGAGCAGCUCCCUUGAGAUUCCGAAGACAAGCCAGUCCCACAAGCAGAGAAAGAAGGCGCUUUUCAUCUCAGGAAUAAUUCCAAAUUUUAAUGACAGCCUAUAGAGAUUCCAGGUCACAUCUGACAUCGAAGGACAUCCAGAGACAGAGAGAGAUUCUCCUUGCCGGAGCAGCCAGAUACAGGGCGGGGUGGGGAAACCUUUCCUUGCCCUUUCCGCACACGGUUCCGCCCUUUCCUUGCCCUUUCCCCACACGGUUCCGCCCUUUCCUUGCCCUUUCCCCACGUGGUUCUGCCCUUUCCUUGCCCUUUUCCCCGCACGGUUCCGCCCUUUCCUUGCCCUUUCCCCGCACGGUUCCGCCCUUUCCUUGCCCCUUUCCCCGCACGGUUUGGCCUCGGGAGUGGGGCAGGAGGAGGAGGAGGGAGGAGGAGGCGCAGCGGCAGCAGGAGCAGCCGGAGAAGAGCAGAGCAGGAAUCGCGUGGCCCCGGGACCAUCGCCCCCAUCCCGCAGUGCCCGGGCAGGGGGAGCUCGGCCCAAAUAUCCCGGGCGGUGCCGGGGUUUGGGGUUUUUGGGGGAUGUUUGGGGCUGGCAGGGCUCCAACGCCGAGCCACAGAUGGCCCUGGGGGGACAUCGGCGGGGCCCUGGGAGGUGUUUUUGGGAGGUGCCAGGGCAGGGAGUGGCUGCUCCCACUUCGAGCCCUGUUGCUCCCUCCGUGUCCUUCCAGUUUCCUCAGCACUCCCAGUAUGAGCCCAGUUGCUCCCAGUAUGAUCCUGGUCACUUCCCCUCUCUCCCUGCAGGAUCCCUGUUGUUGCCAGUAUGAGCCCAGUCCUGCCCAGUCAUUCCCUAAGAUGAUGCAAUUUAAACCCAGCAAGGUCCUAGUUGCUCCCAGUUCCUUCCACUUUCAUCCACUGUGUUCCCCAUUCUGCCAGUUGCCCCUAGCAUAAUCCUAGUCACUCCCAGUAUGAUCCCAGUCUAGCUCAGCAAGGCCCUAGUCAUUCCCACUUGCCCCCAGCAUGUUCCCAGUUUCCCCAGCACAUUCCCAGUCACUCCCAGUCUGGUCCCAGUCACCACCCAUGUGGUCUGAGACACGCCCAGUAUAUCCCAGCUGCCCUGAACAUUCUCGUAGUCAUUGCAAGGCAGUCCCAGUUACCUCAGCAUGGUUCACUUGCCCCCAGUUUCAUCCCAGCUGAUCUCAGUUCCUUUAAUUAUGUCCCCAGUUGGCUCCCAGCAAGGGCCUGGUAGCUCCCAGUAACCCCCAGUCAGGGUCCAGUGACACUCACUCUAAUCCCAGUGUGAUUGUUGCCACUCCCAGUAUGACCCCAGUCAUUCCCAGUCUGAUGCCAGUGGCCCCCAGUGUGGUCCCAGUUGCUCCUUGUCAAUGCCAGCAUGACCCCAGUAGCCUCCAGUAGGAUCCCACUGUCUCCCUGUCUCUCCCAGUUUAUCCCAGUCACUCCCAUUUUCUCCCUGUUGCUUUCAGCAUAAUUCCAGUUGCUCGCAGCCAGUCCCAGUCAAUCCCAGUAUGAUUCCAGUCCCCCCUCUGUGUGAUCCCAGUCUGACCCAGCAGGAACCCAGCUGCUUCCAGUGUGAUCCCAGUAUGAUCCCAGUUGUCCCCAAACAUAGUUCCAGUUGUUCUCACUUCCUCACAUUAUGAUCCCAGUUGCCCCUUGAAUAGUCCCAGUCCCUCUCAGCAGGGUCCCAGUUGUGCCCAGUUGCCCCCAGCAUAGGUUGAGUGUCCCCAAGCAUGGACCCCAGCCUGCUGCCAGCUUUUCCCAGUGUGGUUCCAGUCCCCCCAGUAUGGUUACAGACACUCCCAGUAUAUUCCAGUUGCCUGGGUAAGGUUCUAGUUACCUCAGAGUGACCCCAGUCUUUCCCAGUUACUCCCAGUUGCCUCCAGCAUGAUCCCAGUUUCUGUCUCUUGCCCACAUUGUGGUCCCAGUUGCUCCC
ensembl:lncRNA